UGGCCUUUUGAGAAUAAUUUAAGGUCCGGCCUGCCCAAUGAUUUUUAAAUGGCCGCGGUACUCUGACCGUGCAAAGGUAGCAUAAUCAUUAGUUUUUUAAUUGAAAGCUGGUAUGAAAGGUCAGAUGAGAAAAUAACUGUCUCUGCUUAAAUUUAAUAGAAUUUUAUUUUUAAGUAAAAAAGCUUAAAUGUGUAUAAAAGACGAGAAGACCCUAUAGAGUUUUAUAGUUUUAUUAUUUGGAGUUUUUAGAAUUAUAAUGUUUAAAUAAUAAAAUUAUUUAGUUGGGGCGAUUGAAAAAUUAAAUGAACUUUUUUUUUAUUAAAACAUUGAUUUAUGAAUAUUUGAUCCUUAUAUGAAGAUUAGAAGAUAAAAUUACCUUAGGGAUAACAGCGUAAUUUUUUUUGAGAGUCCAAAUCGAAAAAAAAGAUUGCGACCUCGAUGUUGGAUUAAAAUUAAUUUUUGGUGUAGGGGCUAAAAAAUUAGGUCUGUUCGACCUUUAAAAUUUUACAUGAUCUGAGUUUAAACCGGCGUGAGCCAGG
rnacentral:rRNA from 1 species